UACGGAGGGUGCAAGCGUUAUCCGGAUUCACUGGGUUUAAAGGGUGCGUAGGUGGGUUGGUAAGUCAGUGGUGAAAUCUCCAGGCUUAACUUGGAAACUGCCAUUGAUACUAUCAAUCUUGAAUACCGUGGAGGUCAGCGGAAUAUGUCAUGUAGCGGUGAAAUGCUUAGAUAUCAGGAGGAACACCAGUGGCGAAGGCGGUGUUCUGGGCCAGUACUGACGCUGAGGCGCGAAAGCGUGGGGAGCGAUCCGG
rnacentral:rRNA from 1 species